GAUGAAGAACGUAGCGAAAUGCGAUAAGUAGUGUGAAUUGCAGAAUUCAGUGAAUCAUCGAAUCUUUGAACGCACAUUGCGCCCUUUGGUAUUCCAAAGGGCAUGCCUGUUCGAGCGUCAUUUGUAACCUCAAGCUUUGCUUGGUGUUGGGCGUCUUGUCUCUAGCUUUGCUGGAGACUCGCCUUAAAGUAAUUGGCAGCCGGCCUACUGGUUUCGGAGCGCAGCACAAGUCGCACUCUCUAUCAGCAAAGGUCUAGCAUCCACUAAGCCUUUUUUUCAACUUUUGACCUCGGAUCAGGUAGGGAUACCCGCUGAACUUAAGCAUAUCAAUAAGCGGAGGA
rnacentral:misc_RNA from 1 species